rnacentral:rRNA from 1 species
CCUACGGGAGGCUGCAGUGGGGAAUAUUGCACAAUGGGGGAAACCCUGAUGCAGCGACGCCGCGUGAGUGAAGAAGUAUUUCGGUACGUAAAGCUCUAUCAGCAGGGAAGAAAAUGACGGUACCUGACUAAGAAGCCCCGGCUAACUACGUGCCAGCAGCCGCGGUAAUACGUAGGGGGCAAGCGUUAUCCAGAUUUAGUGGGUGUAAAGGGAGCGUAGACGGCAGCGCAAGUCUGGAGUGAAAUCCCAUGGCUUAACCAUGGAACUGCUUUGGAAACUGUGCAGCUAGAGUGCAGGAGAGGUAAGCGGAAUUCCGAGUGUAGCGGUGAAAUGCGUAGAUAUUAGGAGGAACACCAGUGGCGAAGGCGGCUUACUGGACUGUAACUGACGUUGAGGCUCGAAAGCGUGGGGAGCAAACAGGAUUAGAUACCCCUGUAGUC